UACGUAGGCAGCAAGCGUUGUUCGGAGUUACUGGGCGUAAAGCGAACGUAGGCGGUGUUCCAUGUCAGAGGUGAAAGCCUGGGGCUCAACUCCAGAAUUGCCUUUGAAACGGGGACGCUUGAGUCCGAGAGAGGGUGGCGGAAUUCCUAGUGUAGAGGUGAAAUUCGUAGAUAUUAGGAAGAACACCAGUGGCGAAGGCGGCCACCUGGCUCGGUACUGACGCUCAGGUUCGAAAGCGUGGGGAGCAAACAGG
rnacentral:rRNA from 1 species